rnacentral:snoRNA from 15 species
AAGCAAUGCUCUGUGCAGAUGAUUAAAACCAUCUGGCACAAUUUCUGCUUGCUAUAACAAGAAAGUCUGACCUAUUCUGGUGUUCUCUCUUUGACGAGACAAGCCCCAUUAUAUAGACUACACCAGC